UCACCCACCAAAGAUAUUUGUCAUUACAACGGUCAAAUAUACAAACCAGGCGACAUUUUCAAAAGUGAUUGCAACACCUGCUUCUGCGGCAAACUUGGCAUUGUGGGAUGCACCAGAAAGAAAUGUAGGAAUGCACAUAAAGGUUGUGUUUACAAACACAAACACUACAACGCUGGAGACAGCUUCAAGAAAGACUGCAAUCUAUGUAUAUGUGGCACUUCUGGACAAGCAGCUUGUACAAUGAAGCCCUGCCCUCUCAAACAACAUUCUUGAGACAAAAAAUAAUCCAGGAGAGACCCCAGAAAACAAAGAGAAAUAUUUACCCCCAUCUGGGAACGAAAACUGAAAUAAAAUUUGUAAAAAUA